rnacentral:rRNA from 1 species
AUCUAUGGCCACACCAACCUGAAAGUGCCUGAUCUCGUCUGAUCUCAGAAGCUAAGCAGGGUCGGGCUUGGUUAGUACUUGGAUGGAAGAAUGCAAACUUUUGAGGUA